rnacentral:rRNA from 1 species
GACACCCGGCCCCAUACUCCCCUACGGAGGCAGGCAGUAGGGAAUCCUCACAUGACGCAAGCCUGAUGAGCAUCGCCGCGUGUGUGAUGGAUGGGUUUCGGCUCGUAAAAACACUGUAUAGAGAGACGGCACUGAGAGUAACUGUUCAGUGUGUGACGGUAUCUUACCAGAAAGGAACGGCUAAAUACGUGCCAGCAGCCGCGGUAAUACGUAUGUUCCAGCGUUAUCCGGAUUUAUUGGGCGUAAAGCGAGCGCAGACGGUUAUUUAAGUCUGAAGUGAAAGCCCUCAGCUCAACUGAGGAAUUGCUUUGGAAACUGGAUGACUUGAGUGCAGUAGAGGAAAGUGGAACUCCAUGUGUAGCGGUGAAAUGCGUAGAUAUAUGGAAGAACACCAGUGGCGAAGGCGGCUUUCUGGACUGUAACUGACGUUGAGGCUCGAAAGUGUGGGUAGCAAACAGGAUUAGAUACCCUGGUAGUCCACACCGUAAACGAUGAGUGCUAGAUGUUCGAGGGUUUCCGCCCUUGAGUGUCGCAGCUAACGCAUUAAGCACUCCGCCUGGGGAGUACGACCGCAAGGUUGAAACUCAAAGGAAUUGACGGGGACCCGCACAAGCGGUGGAGCAUGUGGUUUAAUUCGAAGCAACGCGAAGAACCUUACCAGGUCUUGACAUCCCUUGACAACGCUAGAAAUAGCGCGUUCCCUUCGGGGACAAGGUGACAGGUGGUGCAUGGUUGUCGUCAGCUCGUGUCGUGAGAUGUUGGGUUAAGUCCCGCAACGAGCGCAACCCUUAUUAUUAGUUGCCAGCAUUCAGUUGGGCACUCUAGUGAGACUGCCGGUGAUAAACCGGAGGAAGGUGGGGAUGACGUCAAAUCAUCAUGCCCCUUAUGACCUGGGCUACACACGUGCUACAAUGGCAUAUACAACGAGUCGCUAACCCGCGAGGGUACGCUAAUCUCUUAAAGUAUGUCUCAGUUCGGAUUGUAGGCUGCAACUCGCCUACAUGAAGUCGGAAUCGCUAGUAAUCGCGGAUCAGAACGCCGCGGUGAAUACGUUCCCGGGUCUUGUACACACCGCCCGUCACACCAUGAGAGUUUGUAACACCCAAAGCCGGUGGGGUAACCUUUUAGGAGCCAGCCGUCUAAGGUGGGACAGAUGAUUAGGGUGAAGUCGUAACAAAAUUCCCCGAG